GGUCGCCUGAUGUAGUGGUUAUCAUAUUCGCUUUACAAUGGGUUUUAACAAAUUCUAGUUUCUACGCGAAAUGUCGCCGGUUCGAUCCCGGCGGUGACCU